UUCUGAGUUUGAGAGUUUGAUUUCUCAACGCCAACUUGGAAAUUGUUACAAAACCUUAGAAAAUAACCCUUGGAGUAUUACGUUAAGAGAUAUUACUUCGCUGUGCAAAGGCACUUAAAUUACUACUAGCUUUCUGAAUAUGAAAUUACCUUAGGGAAAUAAAAGAUAAGGGCCAUCUGAACACAUGAAUACUUUCACUUAUUGUGACUCUGAAUUUGGAAAUGGGCAGUGGGGGUAAGGGAAGAUUAUUAUCGUCAUUGAAAAUAUUCAGAUUGGAAAGUCUGUGUCUCAGUGGAUUUCACUAACUUUGCUAAAUGAAUCAGACUGAUGACUCAAACAAGAGCGAAAAGGGAAAGUGAUUUCCGUGAAAACCAAGUGUUGAGCGUCUUGUCUUGGUGACCCAAUACUGGGUGCGCGCGCGCAGAGUGGCCAGACCUUCUCCACGCAGCUCUGGCUCUGUACAAUUCCGCAAGCGCACCCAAGGCAGAAAUGCCACCAGUAUACCGCUUCAGAUGAUGGGCUUGGGUGUUCAGCAUUACACAGCGCCACCAGCGCUUCUUUUUUUCUCUCCGAAGUCAGACACUCUCAACAGCACCAGCAGCAGAUAGCCCUAUGUGCGCUACAACUGGUGGGGCGGGGAGACCUGGCGCUCAACCCGCCAGCACGGCUGGUGCUGACGUCCAUUCAGGCCUUUAAAUGUGUGUCUCCCUACGCAGGAGAGAACAGACUUUGUAGCAGUCACUUUGCCCGAAGGGAGACGCGUCAAGCGACAGCUCUGACUCCCCGCUCUCUUCCUGGAGCUGCGUUUAUCUCUGUCCUCUUUGCACCAAGUCCCUGCCAGCCACUCCAGCAAGAGGCGCAUUUGGUACAAGCACCUCAAGCGUGAACCAACAGGACUCCCCAUGCCCCGUGCUUUUCCGAUGGACUUGAAGAUGAAAGAUUGCGAGGUGUGCCCGGAGAUCGCUCCAGGAGCAGGGAGCAUCUUCUAGAUUUUGGCCUUCUAGCUGGGCGGUGAGUAGAUAGCGGGGCGCGCAGUGUGGCAGCGGCAGCGGAGAUUGGCGCGGUCAGAAGCAGCGGAAGGGAAGAAGCUGCUGCUGGGGACUCCCUGGGUGACCCUUUGCCAAGCAAAAGAGCCAGAACCUUCCGGGACGCUGGUGCCUGCACACUGGAUUUUAAACACCAUCCUGGUUGUGAGACUCUGUCCCUUUUUCUCAAUUGGUAACUAGUGGAGAGCGAAGCGCUUGGCAGGAGCGCUCUGCGGGACCUAACCUCCUGGCUGCUUGGGAUCUGUGCGUCCGCUGCUGCGGAAGGAGCGAAGUGGAGGACGCCAGCCGUUGCUUACUGGAGCCUGGAGGAAAAUGGAAGCUUCACUCACUAGAAACAGUUGAAGUUGCCAGAACCUGUGUUUGACAGAGGGAUAAGACAACAGCACCAGAAUUUGCGUGGUCAUGUUUCUGAAUAGUAUGCCCAAGAUCUACAAAUAAGGGAUGUGCAAGAGGCAGCCUUGUCAAGAAAACUUACUUCAUAAUCUUCCAUGGACUAAAGAUGAAACUUUAAACUGCAAAUCAACCUUGAGUGGAUUUUGACGGAAGAUGUUGCAACAGUUUUUUCUCUGGAAAUGUUUAGCUUCGGGGAUCAUCAUUGGCUCUCUCUUUGCAGCUUGCUUUGGCCAAUACGAUGAUGGUAAGGCUGCUUUUAGUCUGACCUUUAGAGCCGGCAGGAAUUUCUUUUAUUAAAUUAAAAACGAAACACACCAGAGAA